GCAGGGACGCCGGAACUGGGGGGGCAGGGGGGGCGGCUGCCCCCCUUGCCUUUUGCUAGGGGGGGGGCAGGGGGGGCAGAAGUGCCCUUUUAGUUGUAAAAUAAUACGUGAUAAAUCACAUUUCCAACGAUGCUUUUUGUAGGAAAAUCACGAGAUUCAGGUAAUUUAUAGUUUAUAUUUAUAAAAUUUUGGGAAAUUUUUGGAAUUUAGAAAAAUAUUUUGAAGAAAUGGCGAAAAUUUAAGAUAUCCGGAAAAUUUUUUGGCUUCACGGAAAAUUUUUGUAUGUCCGGAAAAAAUUUUUGACCCCUAAAAUGG